rnacentral:rRNA from 1 species
CCGGUAAAUUAGUGCCCCCCAGCCCGCGUUAAUAUUUAGGGCGCCAAGCUUUCUCGAAAUAUAUUGGGCGAAAAGAUCUUUAGGCAGCUGUCUCGUUCUUGUGAGAUAACCGGACUCUACACCUCGCGCGUGCGAUCGUGUGCGGGCGGUCUAGUGCGCUAUAGGAGAGACUAGAUUUCUUGGUGUAGCGGGGAGUGCGCAGAUCUCAGGAGGAACACCGAUGGCGAAGCACAUGUCUUUGCGCAGAUAUAGACGCUGAGGAGAGAAAGCGUGGAGAGAACACACGAUUAUAUACCCUUAUUGUACACCUUAAACGUUGAGCAAUAGGUGUGGUGACCAUUCCACGGUCUCCGUGGCACAUGUAACGCAAUAAUUCCCCCGCCUGGAGAAUACCCCACAAGGGUAAAUCUCAAAAGAAGUGGCGGAGGCCCGCACGAGGCGGAGCACCUGGAGAAUAAUUUGGCAACACGAGGAGCACCUUACACAAGGUGUCACACUCGCCAGAAACCCCCAGAGAUUGAGCUCUCGCAACAUUGGUGCACAGGUGGUGCAUGGUUGUCGUCAGCUCGUGUCGUGAGAUGUUGGGUUAAGUCCCGCAACGAGCGCAACCCUCGUUCCAUGUUGCCAGCGCGUUAUGCCGGGGACUCAUGGGAGACUGCCGGGGUCAACUCGGAGGAAGGUGGGGAUGACGUCAAAUCAUCAUGCCCCUUAUGUCUUGGGCUUCACGCAUGCUACAAUGGCCGGUACAGAGGGCUGCGAUACCGUAAGGUGGAGCGAAUCCCAAAAAGCCGGUCUCAGUUCGGAUUGGGGUCUGCAACUCGACCUCAUGAAGUCGGAGUCGCUAGUAAUCGCAGAUCAGCAACGAUGCGGUGAAUACGUUCCCGGGUCUUGUACACACCGCCCGUCAAGUCACGCAAAGUUCAGUAACCAACCCCGAAGGCCCGAUCGGCCGCAACCCCCUUGUGGGAGGGAGCUGUUUU